UCAUAGCACCUGGCUACAGGCAGCAAUGAGGGUGUGGAAACCACAAGUGUCAGAAACUGCACAGUGAAUAUGGUCAUGUAGAAAAGGCACUUGGCUUCACAUGAGAAGACUCAACCAAUUUCCACCUGACAUUCCUAUGACCUCUUACCUUAUACAACAGAAAUCAUAGAUUUAAAGGGGCAGGAGGGGCAGGAAGAGUUGCCAGCCCCUGUUGCUAAUUGACACUAUUGUAUUUUGCUUUGUUAGUCACAUUCUCCAACCCUGUCCUUGAUGCUAGAAAGUAAGAAAUGUGAUCUUUUGUCAACAGGCCAGCUGACUCCAGCUACAUAAUUGGACCAGCACAAAAGACAUGCCACAGAAAAAGAAGCCAGACUGGGAGUGACCUGAUCCACAGCAAAAGUUAACAAAGCAACAAAGGGUUAAAGGAACUUGCUGAAGGCCUCUUGGUACAACAGUGGCAUGAAUGCCUGUAUUCUGCAACAGAAGGAAUCAUGAAUGAAUACAUAGAGAUCAACAUAGGCAACAUGCAGGUGGUCAGAGACAUACAAAGCCAGGAGAGUACAGCAAAGACUAUUCUUACCUGUGAAAGAGGACUGACUUGACCAGAGUAACAACAUCCCUGCUGGCGUUGUAUCCGGCACAGACAAUGGCCACGUGGAUGGUCUGAGAGAAAAGGAACAAUGAUUGAACUAUCAUACAGACAGAAGCAAGCCUUCUUGUCUUGUAGGCCCACAGGAGAGAAAAAUCAUCCUGAUUUCUUGUUGGGAUCAUAGAAAACAAAGGGCACUGCCUGCAGCCACGGAGAAUAACUUGAGACAGUUUUAUUAAAGUCUUUUUAAUUGGUU